UACGAAGGGGGCUAGCGUUGCUCGGAAUCAUUGGGCGUAAAGCGCACGUAGGCGGCCUUGUAAGUCGGAUGUGAAAGCCCUGGGCUUAACCCAGGAAGUGCAUUCGAAACUCCCGAGCUUGAGUCUCGGAGAGGAAGGCGGAAUUCUCGGUGUAGAGGUGAAAUUCGUAGAUAUCGAGAGGAACAUCGGUGGCGAAGGCGGCCUUCUGGACGAUGACUGACGCUGAGACGCGAAAGCGUGGGGAGCAAACAGG
rnacentral:rRNA from 1 species